rnacentral:rRNA from 1 species
UACGUAGGGUGCAAGCGUUAAUCGGAAUUACUGGGCGUAAAGCGUGCGCAGGCGGUUGGGCAAGACAGGGGUGAAAUCCCCGGGCUUAACCUGGGAACUGCACUUGUGACUGCAUAGCUGGAGUACGGCAGAGGGGGAUGGAAUUCCGCGUGUAGCAGUGAAAUGCGUAGAUAUGCGGAGGAACACCGAUGGCGAAGGCAGUCCCCUGGGCCUGUACUGACGCUCAUGCACGAAAGCGUGGGGAGCAAACAGG